GUUAAGUUUAAUGAGUUUAAUAUGAAUUGCAAGUCUUUGUCAAGCAGUGAGUGUUUUUUGUUUUGUGCAAAUCCAAGAAAAACCGGUAUAUAGCGACGCAGAUUCAUAGAUGCAUGUGCUCUGUUGAGGACUACUCCUGAAAGGUAGGAGAGACGCUGAAACUUCCCAUUAACUCAGAGGCGGGAAUGCUACCAAUUAGCAGACGUAGUACCCAGUCCUGGCCCUGGCUCUGGCCCUA